AUUGAACGCUGGCGGCAGGCCUAACACAUGCAAGUCGAGCGGAGCUGCGGAAGGGGACGUAAGGCCUAGGAAUCGGCCUGGUAGUGAGGGAGAACGUCAGGAAACGGACGCGAUGACAGCAUACUAGCAAAGGAGUCUAGGUCGGAUUAGCUAGUUGGUGUGGUAAAGGCCUACCAAGGCGACGAUCCGUAACUGGGCUGAGAGGAUGAUCAGUCACACUGGGACUGAGACACGGUCCAGACUCCUACGGGAGGCAGCAGUAGGGAAUAUUGGGCAAUGGGCGAAAGCCUGAUCCAGCCAUGCCGCGUGUGUGAAGAAGGUCUUCGGAUUGUAAAGCCCUUUUGGUUGGGAGGCGUUACCAACAGAAUAAGCAACGGCUAACUUCGUGCCAGCAGCCGCGGUAAUUC
rnacentral:rRNA from 1 species